rnacentral:lncRNA from 1 species
CCCGCCUCCAACUCCGCCCCCCUCUUUCUCCCCCCGUCGGUCGCUCCUCCACCCCGACAUCUCCUUUCUCCCUGCAGAGGAACAGUUCGCCGCGUAGCAGCCGCUGGGGCGCUGGGAGCGGCGGGAAGGGUGGAAGAAGGCAGGCGCAGAGGCCCGGAGAGGCGGGAGCCAGGUCGCGGCCCCGCAGCCGCUCCGGUCUCAGUCCGGGUAUUCUCGGUGGCAGAGCCCGGGCCUGGCCGCCGGCGCCGCGGGUGGGAGGACGGCGCCUGGAGCGGAGCCCGGAGGCGCGAAGAGGAGGAGCGGGUCUCAGUCCUGGGAGCGGGAACAGCGCAGGCUCAAUGGGAGAUGCCUACCGUGCAAAGUCCCGGAGCGCUGGCCUGGAGGAAGAGGGCGUCCCGCGCCUGUGCAAAUACCUGGAGAACGCGCGGGAGACGAUGCUGCUGCAGGCUUUCCCAGAUUUUUCACCAGUGAUUCAAUGGGAGGAAACCAGGUCCCAGACUUGAUUAAAAACAAACAAAAAAACCCUAGGUAUCGAAAGAGGGUAACAACCUCGUCUUCAAGUAAAUAAAGGGAGGGAUUCAAAUUAUAAGGCAAAGGAAAAAUUGGUUCUUUGCUGUGGGGAAGAGUUGCUGAAAAUUAAAGAACAAUCUCCUGAGCUGAAGGAAGCUUUGGGUUUGGUAAUUUGGGGUGUGGGGCAGGCCUUCCAGAAUGCCAAGGGCGUCAAGACUAGUGUGUCUCGCCCUUAGUGUUUCCUUCCUCCAUUUGAGAGAGCUUUCUGGCAUAGAACAAAAAAAAAGUUCACCCCUUCUUGUCUCUGCUGACACCUAGAUUCUUCUCAGCUGUAUGUCCCUGUUCCUAUUAGGGUAACACAGGAUGGGGGAAGAAUAGCUCAGUGAUCUUCCCUUCACAUCUCCCCUAAAAGCAUUGUGAAAUAUCAUGUGCCCCCUCCCACAGGCUUAGGUUGACCUGAAAUUCUCAGCAUGUGUUCAAAGAAUUGCAAAGAAUGUAAUUUACAACAUAUUAUAUGUAUAUAUAUAUUAACACGUUUAAAUAAAACUGUUAAUCACAUGUCCAAUGGAAUCUAAAUACCAUAACAUUUUGACACCCAUCGUUAAUUUUUUAAAUGCACAAUCUCUUUCUUAACAGUUGGAAAUUUUACACUGUUCCUUUUUUUUCCUUUGAAUUCAUAUUUUCAUUUUAUUCUCCCUAUAGAAUUUUUUUUUUUUUUUGAAUUCUCAAGCCUGGCUGCAUCCUCAUGUAAUAUAUUUU